CCUACGGGAGGCAGCAGUAGGGAAUAUUGCUCAAUGGGGGAAACCCUGAAGCAGCAACGCCGCGUGGAGGAUGAAGGUUUUCGGAUUUUUAACUCCUUUUUUUAGAGAAGAUAAUGACGGUACCUAACGAAUAAGCACCGGUUAACUCCGUGCAAGCAGCCGCCGUAAUACGGAGGGUUCAAGCGUUACUCGGAAUCAUUGGGCGUAAAAAGCGCUUAGGCGGGAUAACAAGUCCGAUGUCAAAUCGUAUGGCUUAACCAUAGAAGUGCAUUUGAAACUGUUAUUCUAGAGUAUGGGAGAGGUAGGUGGAAUUCGUGGUGUAGGGGUAAAA
rnacentral:rRNA from 1 species